GACGAACGCUGGCGGCGUGCUUAACACAUGCAAGUCGAACGGAAAGGCCCUGCUUGCGGGGUACUCGAGUGGCGAACGGGGGAGUAACACGUGGGUGAUCUGCGCUGCACUUCGGGAGAAGACUGGGAAACAGGGUCGAAUACCGGAUAGGAGCCAUCUUGAGGGUGAGGGGUGGAAGGUUUUUUCGGUGUGGGAUGGGCUGGCGGCCGAUCAGCUUGUUGGUGGGGUAAUGGCCUACCAAGGCGGGGACGGGUAGCCGGCCUGAGGGGGUGGACGGCCACCAUGGGACUGGGAAUCGGCCCAGGCCCCUACCGGGGGCCGCCGUGGGGAAUUUUGCCCCAUGGGCGCGAGCCCGAUGCAGCGACGCCGCGGGGGGGAUUACGGCCUUCGGGUUGUAAACUCCUUUCGCUAGGGACGAAGCUUUUUGUGACGGUACCUAGAUAAGAAGCACCGGCUAACUACGUG
rnacentral:rRNA from 1 species